rnacentral:rRNA from 1 species
CCUACGGGAGGCUGCAGUGGGGAAUAUUGCACAAUGGGCGCAAGCCUGAUGCAGCCAUGCCGCGUGUGUGAAGAAGGCCUUCGGGUUGUAAAGCACUUUCAGCGGGGAGGAAGGCGGUGAGGUUAAUAACCUCAUCGAUUGACGUUACCCGCAGAAGACGCACCGGCUAACUCCGUGCCAGCAGCCGCGGUAAUACGGAGGGUGCAAGCGUUAAUCGGAAUUACUGGGCGUAAAGCGCACGCAGGCGGCCUGUCAAGUCGGAUGUGAAAUCCCCGGGCUCAACCUGGGAACUGCAUUCGAAACUGGCAGGCUAGAGUCGUGUAGAGGGGGGUAGAAUUCCAGGUGUAGCGGUGAAAUGCGUAGAGAUCUGGAGGAAUACCGGUGGCGAAGGCGGCCCCCUGGACAAAGACUGACGCUCAGGUGCGAAAGCGUGGGGAGCAAACAGGAUGAAUACCCUUGUAGUC